UGCUCGGAACUGCUGCUCGGCCCCGCCCCCUUCCCGGUAACGGCCGCUCGGUGGCAGUUGGGGACCGGCUCCUCGUGGUCCCACUCUAGGGCUGCUCCCGCCUGGCCGCGGGCCCGUGGCACAAGCACUUUCCCUGUCCCUCGCUGCAGCCGCCUCCGCAGGGGAGCUCGGCGCCUGUCCUGCUGCUGUGCAAGGAGAAGCAAACCAUGGAUCAUCUGAGAUGCCAGCUAGCACCACCAUAUGCCUCACACGAUCUGGCAACACCAACACCAGAAGCAGUGGCCUGUGCAGACUACUGAGAACAGACCGGACAGAAAAGCUGGACUGAAGACGCAACAAGGAGGAAGACCCCAACCCCUUCCUUUAUCCCUGCUCUGCUUUCUGCUGCCUGCCACCAGCAACACAGGGGCUUCCCAAGCCAACUGAGCUUGGCCUCCUGUGCUGGAAAUAAUUGCUGUAUGUUAUUCUCUGGUGGAAAUAGUUGCUGUAUAUUAUUACAAUUUCAUACCCCACUUUCACAGAACACUAGGGCUGGAGGAGACCUCAUAAGAUCAUCAGGGUCCAGCCCUAAAGGAAGAGGCCAAGGCUCUAGCAAGACUUGAACUCACGACCCCUGAUUUACAAGACCAGUGUUCUAACCACUGAGCUAUGGAGCCAGUUUUUGUUGUUUUUAACCUAUUUAUUCCAUAAUAUAAACUAAUUGGGGUACAGAGAAUUACUGUUCAUUCCUAGGACCAUUUCUAAAACAAUGUGCUAUUUUAAUUUAAAUGUUUAUUUCCAACUGCAAAGCCUACUUGAUUACAUUGUUCCUAAAUUAAAGCUGCACGUUGAAUUGUAAAAGUUUCUUUACCGAAAA